CGAAGAACCUUACCAGGUCUUUGACAUUCCUUUUGAAUGGUCUAGAGAUAGAUCAGGCCUUCGGGACAGAAGAGACAGGUGGUGCAUGGUUGUCGUCAGCUCGUGUCGUGAGAUGUUGGGUUAAGUCCCGCAACGAGCGCAACCCUUAUCAUUAGUUGCUAACAUUUCAGUUGAGAACUCUAAUGAGACUGCCAGUGAUAAACUGGAGGAAGGUGGGAUGACGUCAAAUCAUCAUGCCCCUUAUGACCUGGGCUACACACGUGCUACAAUGGCCGGUACAAAGAGUUGCGAAACUGUGAAGUUAAGCUAAUCUCAUAAAGCCGGUCUCAGUUCGGAUUGUAGUCUGCAACUCGACUACAUGAAGUCGGAAUCGCUAGUAAUCGCGAAUCAGAAUGUCGCGGUGAAUACGUUCUCGAGUCUU
rnacentral:rRNA from 1 species